rnacentral:rRNA from 1 species
AUACGGAGGGUGCAAGCGUUAUUCGGAAUCACUGGGCGUAAAGGACGCGUAGGCGGGAAGCCAAGUCUGAUGUGAAAUCCUAUGGCUUAACCAUAGAACUGCAUUGGAAACUGGUUACCUAGAGUAUGAGAGGGGGAGAUGGAAUUAGUGGUGUAGGGGUAAAAUCCGUAGAUAUCACUAGGAAUACCGAAAGCGAAGGCGAUCUCCUGGAACAAUACUGACGCUAAGGCGUGAAAGCGUGGGGAGCAAACGGGAUUAGAAACCCCGGUAGUCC